rnacentral:rRNA from 1 species
UACGGGGGGGCAAGCGUUGUUCGGAAUUACUGGGCGUAAAGGGCUCGUAGGUGGCCAACUAAGUCACACGUGAAAUCCCCAGGCUUAACCUGGGAACUGCGUGUGAUACUGGAUGGCUUGAAUCCGGGAGAGGGAUGCGGAAUUCCAGGUGUAGCGGUGAAAUGCGUAGAUAUCUGGAGGAAUACCGGUGGCGAAGGCGGCAUCCUGGACCGAGAUUGACGCUGAGGAGCGAAAGCUAGGGGAGCAAACGGG